GCCUACCGCUUCCGAUUUGGUACAUUCUUCUCUAUAUAUGCGUUCCGAGUGUGCUGGAUUUAGGUGGAUUUUUUAGGGUUUCGUCGUCAGAUAAGGGAGCAUGGCUAGCAAUCGAGCCUCGCUGGUCGUUUGCUAUCGAAUCGAUUGUUCUUCUCAUAGAUGUAGUUCUGAUGGCAACCAUAAUCCUAGAUAACUCGAUUGCUGUCUUGUGGCGUCACUGGUUCUACUAGGUUUGGUAAUUAUCGCAUCGUAAAAAUCACAAAAUAUUCCAGACUAGCUGCAAAAUUGAAAUGGUUUGGAAAUUGCUCGCCUGCUUCUUAAACUAGCAGACUGGUUCACAGACAAGCAAGAAGGAUGUCACUCCGUUAGAUUUGUUACUUAUACCUUGACCAUGAGAAGUUCUUUAAUCAGAUCCUUUUGUGCCUGCAAGGAGCCAAGCCUAGGCUUUGGUGCUGUCAGAUGUCACAGUUGAUCAGUUACUAGUGACUUCAUCGAAAUAUAUGAACUUUGGGCAUUCUCAACCUAGUUGGAACUGUCGCAGAACAAUGAGUGCGUUUAGAAAGCAGGUGACUGCUUGCUUUGCUGAAGACCUGGGCUAGUUGUACAGCAUAUGUGAUUUCCCAGAAGCGAACGAGCAGGCUGAUGAGGAAGAAGCCUGGGAUGAGUGGUAAAUGCAGGAAGGAGAUGUUCGAUCCCCACCUUGGCGAUAAAACUUGCUGGUUGCAGUGCUGAUAGCUUGGUUACCAUGGUGGUGAUUAGGUUCUAUGUCCAGUUUGUGAAACUUUCGUUUUAUUCUGUGCUCUUUUGUGAGCCUGGUCCGGUGAUGGUUGUUUUGGGGCUCCUGGUAGCGGUGCUGAUCCAUGGUAGUGUAAAACUUUUGGUCUUUGUUGCGUAGUUUCGGAUGAUAUCAGGUUUUCGCCCCGCAGUUUGUGUUCCUGAUGACAGGCAUGAACGGUGGGUUUCCUGA